rnacentral:rRNA from 1 species
UAAUACGAAGGGUGCGAGCGUUGUUCGGAUUUAUUGGGCGUAAAGCGGGUGCAGGCGGAUAUACAAGUCAGAUGUGAGAUCUCGGGGCUCAACCUCGAAACUGCGUCUGAAACUGUGUAUCUAGAAUCUCGUAGAGGGAGGCGGAAUUUCGCAUGUAGGAGUAAAAUCCGUAGAUAUGCGAAGGAACACCAGAGGCGAAGGCGGCCUCCUGGGCGAGUAUUGACGCUGUAGCCGAAAGCGUGGGGAGCAAACAGGAUUAGAUACCCUGGUAGUCCACGCCGUAAACGAUGUGCACUAGAUUUGGGGGGAGUUGACCCCUUCUGGAUCGUAGCUAACGCAUUAAGUGCACCGCCUGGGGAGUACGGUCGCAAGACUA